GUAGGUGGCAAGCGUUGUCCGGGAAUUAUUGGGGCGUAAAGCGCGCGCAGGCGGUUCUUUAAGUCUGAUGUGAAAGCCCACGGGCUCAACCGUGGAGGGUCAUUGGAAACUGGAGAACUUGAGUACAGAAGAGGAAAGCGGAAUUCCACGUGUAGCGGUGAAAUGCGUAGAGAUGUGGAGGAACACCAGUGGCGAAGGCGGCUUUCUGGUCUGUAACUGACGCUGAGGCGCGAAAGCGUGGGGAGCAAACAGGAUUAGAUACUCUGGUAGUCACGCCGUAAACGAUGAGUGCUAAGUGUUAGGGGGUUUCCGCCCCUUAGUGCUGCAGCUAACGCAUUAAGCACUCCGCCUGGGGAGUACGGCCGCAAAGGCUG
rnacentral:rRNA from 1 species